GGCUGUUGCUCAAUCGGAAAUAGAGCCGAAUUACUAAUCUGGAGGUCGCGGGUUCGAAUCCCGUUAGCAAUCG
rnacentral:tRNA from 1 species